UCUCUCGCGUUUUUGUGCGCGUGUCUAUCUUAAGAUGAGGCUAAACGCAUUAAAUAUUAAACCAACCCACUGGACUGCUACGUCCACGGUGCGCGUGGAAUGCAGGAGCGAAAAAGUUGUCGCGCUAAACAAUUAGCUAGCGUUAGCUUAGCGUGCUAGCAUAAGCUAAGCCAACACAACACCUAGCCAGAUAUGUGUGCCGUUUAUUUUUGACACGACUAAUCACGUAUAAAGUUUAAUUUCUAGACUUCCUGUUCGGUUUGCUUGCAGGUGACGUUUUUAUAUAGCUAGCUAAUCCAGUGCUAGCCUAAUACGUAUUAGCCGGUUAUGCUAAAUCGAGUUCGUGCGGGUCCGAAAGCCUUUUCCCCCCCUCUCUCACACACACACUCUCUCGCCGCAAAAGCUCGGAUUCAUUCUCAAACGCUCGCAUGCGCAUUUCCCAAGCGCACUACGACAAAGUCUGAACGGACGGCACGCGCGCCCUACGUAGUGCACUACACGACAAAAUAGGAGCGUGUUUUGGGACCGAGCCUGCUAACUAGCCGUGCAACUUGCUCCGGCUAACUUCUCAUGAAUGACACCGUUAUAGCGUUAGCAUUUUGGUUAGAAUAGCAAACGCUGUUCUAUUAUUAUUGUUAUUAUUAAUUAUAAUUAUUAAUUAAAUAAUUAUGCAUUGCUUUAUUUGAAAUGUAAUGUCACAGAGUGAAAUAAAAUGUUGAGCUUGUCGCUUUUUAAUUUCCGUUGGGAAUGCGGUUGCUAGUUUAGCAGGAGGUGAGGUGUUAGCUAGCAACACGUUUGUUUUUGUUCACGUCUAGCCGGAUGAGCGAAGCGUUAAAUAUGCGUAUUAAAAUGAGAUUUAUGUUUUAAUGUAUGUUAAUUAUGAAGUGCUCGUCUCGUGAGUUGUGGAAACCCGGUUUAGACACACACACACACACACUGCACAAGGGGCCUGAUAAUUGAUAAACCAGGAGAAUCUUCUGGUUGCUGUUUUUUUUUUCUUUUCUGCAGGUGAAAUGAUUUCCUAGUCAGGAAUAAAGGUGAGUUCAUGAGUUGUAAAUAGUGUCUGCAGCUUCAUGAGGUUCUCUGGGAGUCCUCUUAAAUCCUGAAUUAAACCUGUAUAACUGUUUGCUGCCACAAAUUCCUUGUUGUUGUUGUGUGUGUUAAAGGAGAAGUCCACUGUGUAACACAUUAAACGUGUUUCUACAGAAAUAUUCCUGAAGUGUUUGGUGAACUUGCUCCUGGUUUGUUGCUGCGUACGGUAUUUGCAUUAUCGCUGUCACAAGAUCGCCGUCUGACGUCACAGGCGGACAUUCACGAACACGAUGUGGUUUAAUCCCGGCGUUCCGAAUGUUGAACUUCUGAGGUUUUUAAGUUAAGUAAAAUGAAUGCUCGCUGUAAUAACUUGUCUGCGAAACCCCAGACAACCCCGGCGCAAUUAUUGACGCACAAUUGCGCCGAAAACGGUGUUUAGCGCCUGUGCAGGCUCGGAGAGACAUCUGAACGGAUCUUUUCUGACUUCCCGGGUCUCACUUGGUCAUGAACAGAGCAUUAAGGCGGUCAAGUGAUUUUGUUGUCACGGUUGCCGUACGUAUUCCCCCCUUCACAUGUUCAUGCUGCAGUACGCUGCUACGAAUUAUCACUCGAAAGUACGCCAAAAUACAGAUCGUCAAAAAAAAACCCCUCCCAAAUAAACAACUAAUAAUAAUAAUAAUAAUAAUAAUGAAGGAAUAAUUGACGGAUGAAUCCAGAAUGAUCAGCUGGUUUUGAAGUCUCGCAUAUUAAUGAACUCUCUGGAAGCCCCGCCCCCUUUCCCACGUUUAAAGUUAGCAUCGUUUCAGUUGGUGCUGUUGUCUCGAACUCUAUGCGAGUCUUUUUUGUGGGCGGGAUUUUCCUUCUUGUAUAUCCUGAAACGUAUUCUUUCUUAACGUAUUUUACACGCUCCCUGGGAUUGGGUCCAAGUUCCCCCGCGACCCUGAAGAAGGAGUAAGCAGUAGAAGAUGGAUGGAUGGAUGGACGUAUAUUACACUUUUUUUUUUUUAAAGACAAUGAAACAUAUUUUAAAUAUAUAUAUAAGCUCAACAUAUAUUUUAAAUAUAUAAUUAUAUAUAAGGUUUAAAUAUAUAAUAUUAUUUGACCCUGAGCUAGAAGAACAUGGCUCGACAUAUACUAUCGUGGGUGUAAAAAAGUUUCUCGUUUUAUUUAUUUAUUUAUUUUCCAGCGUGAGAGAUGACAACUAAUGAAACGUGUGCAUGCGGGUGAGGUGUGAAUGGAAAAUCUAGAAGGAAUCGGAAAGAUAGAUAGGUUCUGUUCGUUAUAAACAAGGACCGAUCACACAAGCGUUUUAACCAUAAUAAGGUUAAGGAAGUCAUCAUCGUGUCCUUUUGACACAUGAUCGAAUGUCGGAGCUCGCCGGCAGAUGUUUUGUGGACGGGGACGGUCUAUCGUUUUAGUCUCAAGUUGCAGUAAUUGGAUACGACCUGUUUAAAUCCCACAGCUUGCAUUCGACAUUUAAGUCGGCCUCAUUUCACAGAAAGAUUGGAUGGAAAUUGCCUGGAAAUCUUCGCCGGUGCUUGGUUCUAAACUGCACAGCUUUGGUGCCCAUAUUCUGCUGAAGAGGAGAGCACCAGGAUGAGGAGUCAGUAGGCACCCUCCAUAGUAUGGCCGCGUCCCGUUCUUCGCGCGUCACAAGAUCAUCAGUGGGGUUAAAUGGAUUGGACGAGAACUUUUGUGGCCGAACCCUCAGGAACCGCAGCAUCGCACAGCCGGAGGAGACCUCGCCUCCUCCUACACCCAGAACUCGAUUGCCCUCGAAGAAGCAGGACUACCAGCAGGGUGGGACUCAGUCGGGGAAGGUAACCGAAGCCGAGUCCUUGCCCGCCCACAGGAAACGGGGCUUGUCCGUCUCGGAGAAAGACGAGCCGGAGAGGCCGGACGCCUCCGAAAGAGUUCGGGUUGGAGUAGGACAAGAAGCCUCCCCUUCCCUGAAGAGGGCUAAGCGGUGCGCUCGCUCAGGGGAAUCCCAAGGAACCGAGGAGGAACCUUCUCCCAAACCUGAGAGCCCUGAUCCGGCUUCAGGCAAGGACAAUGAUGAGGACUUUAAAUCGGACUUUGCUUCAAACUCGCCCUCAGAUUCGGGCUUGGCGCUGUCUGUCAGCCUCGACAAAGAGUGCGAGGAGGAAAAGGAUGAGGACAAGGAGCACAGUCUUUCUUUGCCAGGCAGCGAGUCCCACAAGGCAACCAAUGGCCUGGCUGAGGUCCAUAAGAAAGACUUAGAAUCUGCAGCCUUGCUUGCAGAGCCCUGUGCCUGCUCCACCACGCUCACGAACAGUCCCUCGCUGCCCAAUGGCAGCCAAGUGGCAGCUUCAACCCUGGACCCCAUUGUGCCUUGUACAUCCCUGCUUCUUAAACCGGUGGACGAGUCCAAUGGCCCUCAGGCCGACAGCGAGAAGAACUGCUCAGCCGAGGAGGCCUCCGAAGCUGUUCUGUCUCUGGAACCGGAGGUCGAGGUUGAGGUAGACGUUAUCGGGGAUACUGGCCCGGUCCAGGACGAGCAUGUGGCUGAGGAGAGCACUAACGGUGGCCUGCUUGUGGAUCUGCAGGACCCUUCAGACGAUUGCUCAAAUAUCUCAGGGGAAACAGCAGGGCUGACCUCCCAGCUUCCCGCGGAGCCGCCUUCCUUCACAGAGCCUCAAGAGCAUAGAUAUACCUUGAGGACUUCCCCUCGGCGCACUUCCUGUGUUAGUGGGCCAAGAUGCAGCUCCCCCAAGCCUGGUUCCCCUCACACGGAUAACGGAUUACUGAAGGACGACGUCGCGGUAGUUCCUCUCGACUCUGAUGACUCGGCCUGCCAUAAAGAACCUCGGACUGACGGGCCAAGUCUCGUUAGCGAGGCCGACAGCGAACUCUCCGAACACGUAGGGGCCAAGGUCAGUGAAGACACUGGCUUAUUGGAUAGUCGAGGUUCCAGAUCCACCAAAGAACCAGAGGAGGAAGACGCAGAGGAGGACGAUCCUGAUGUCUACUAUUUCGAGUCUGAUCACUUGGCUCUCAAACACAACAAAGACUAUCAGAGACUGCUCCAGACCAUCGGCGUGUUGGAGGCUCAGAGAACCCAGGCCAUCCUGGAUCUGGAGGCACUGGCUCGCCACCAGAAGCAGGCCCUGGCCAACCCCGUUGCCUUCGUGGACCAGCUUCAGAAGCAGGUGGAGUUGGGCUUGCCCUGUCCUCAGAGAGUCGUCCAGCUCCCCGAAAUCGCAUGGGACCAAUACACCUCAGGCCGCGGUGAAUUCGAAAGGGACUUCAGCGACGAGAAGCGCAAGACGAGGCGGUUGAAGUUAAUCUUCGACAAAGUGGGAUUACCAGCAAGACCGAAAAGUCCAGCUGAUUCCAAGAAGGAGAGCGACGUCUCCACUCUGUACUCGUCUCUGCCCUCCAGUGACGCCCCGGAGCACGGCACGCUCGGGAACAGGACGCAGAUGAUCAGAGGGAGACCGUAUCACCAGAGCAAACCGGACACGUUUAACCAGCUGUGGACGGUGGAGGAGCAGAAAAAGCUGGAGCAGUUGCUCCUCAAGUUCCCGCCCGAGGAGGUGGAGUCUAAACGGUGGCAGAAGAUCGCAGACGAGCUGGGGAACAGGACGGCCAAACAGGUCGCCAGCCGAGUGCAAAAGUAUUUCAUUAAAUUGACGAAGGCGGGAAUUCCAGUUCCGGGGCGAACUCCGAACCUGUGCAUGUACAACAAAAAGACCUCGAAUAAGAGGCAGCAUCACCUGAACAAGCACCUGUACCGGCCCUCCACCUUCCUGACGUCCUACGAGCCGCCCGUCUACAUGGAGGACGAGGACGAGCGCUCGAGCUUCAUCUGCGGUCUGCAGGAUGGCACGGCCAACGAUUCGGACGAGGACGUCGUACCGGUGGAGCUGAGGCACCUGCCAGAGUACAAAGAGCUGCAGGAGCUGAAAAGACUCAGGAAGCAGAAGAUCCACGAGCUCCAGAGCGAGAGCACCCUCGCACAGCACGUAGGCUACAAGUGCGAUAUGUGUGGCAUAGAGCCGAUCCAGGGCGUACGGUGGCACUGCCAGGACUGCCCCCAGGACAACGCCGUCGACUUCUGCGCCAACUGUGCCGACUGCGCGUUCAAGACGGACACGCACACGCCGAGUCACCGCCUGGAGCCGGUCCAGCAGGUCGAGGGCUUCCUGGACAGAGACUACUGCUUGCCUGCAAGCGCUGCCUACAACUACCUGGACCCCAACUACUUCCCGGCCAACAGAUGACAGGAGCGAGGCAGGGCCGCUCGAACCCGGGGCCGGACUCACUUCGUCCACUCACCAGAGGCAGAUCCGCUUACAGCAGGAGGACCCUGAACCACCGCUCUACCUGAGCUCACACGCCAUUGUCAACGCAAAAAGGGAGGGAGCGACGUCCCAAAUCGUCUCCGCUCUCCGUCACCCAGCUGCUGUCAAGCCUUUGUGUGUGUGUGUGUGUGUGUGUGUGUGUGUGUGUGUGUGUGUGAGAGAGAAGGUGGAAAUGAAAAGGGACUCGGUGCUGACUUUCCAUUCACGCCAGGUUUUUAACCAGGAGGAUUUGCUAACAAAUCAGACGUUCUUAAUUUACAGACCCUGAACACACUUUUACUAGAAGCUGCUUUUUUUUUUUCCCCCUCUCUUUUCUUCUCCCCCUUCCCCCUCUUUCACACCCCAAGACCUUACAUUAUGAUGUCGAUCAUGUGUUUGAUGAUGUUUUUGUUUAAUGUUAAAGCUCCAGCCCAUGAAGCACUACAGCACGGACAAGACCAGCUGAGAGACGCACUUGAAGGAAAAUACAAUAACAGGAUUUCAGCGUGAAACUCAACUCCUCCAUGGUUUAAAAGCCUGUAGCCAGACACAGAGCAGUAAGAGAUGAGAGUGACAGAGAGAGAGAGAGAGAGGGAUGCUCCAUCAAUAUGUAAUAAUACAGAUACGCAGUUAGAGAAGAACCACGACGUGCAAAACGACUGGAAACGAUUCCGUGGGUGUUUCAGGACAUCGCUGAGGAUCCUGAGCCGGUGACGUGGGCGGUCCAGAAGGGAUGAUGAUGACUUACCGCUAAGAAGGCACGUGUAUCUGCACAUGCAUACGCACUCCUACACGUCAAAGACUACAGUACAAACUAGAUAUGUUGGAAGCACUGGAUUGUAAAUGAAGCCCUCGUACAGACACUAGAACCCCUUUUUCUCUCCUUCUCUCUCUCUCGCUGAAUCAUGAAUCCCAGCCGAGCUCCAGCUCAUUAGCGAGGCUAACCUGUUACGGAGGAGUGCAGCGCUUCCAGUACUUGUGGAGGAGAACGUGGGCGGCACAGGAAGUGUUCGAUGUUCAGUCCUGCCUGUUUUGCGCAUUAGACUUACAAAACCGCUGGCCUCAUUCGCGUUGCGUUCUUUCUCUUCUCUUCUCUCCUGACUUCUACGAAAGUUUGUGCCCUUCCCCCCGAAACCAACCAACAUCGUCUUUGGAUCUUUUACGAAGGGCGCAAACACACCUUCAGCGCAGAAUUCAGACUCUCGUCUCUUGCUUUCGGAGAGAUGACUCGUCCCGUUGAUGCGUGCCGUUAAUAGAAACGCUGUUUGUUCUCGCCGCUGAACUGAGCGGAGGAUGUUGAGAAAAAUCUCGAGAGUGGUGUGAACAGGGUGUGGGCAGCACCGCCACGCUGAGCGCUGCGGGUUCUCUCUUUGUACCACUCUCUGGACCCACACACACACACGCACGCUGAGAACUGCUUCAUCUGUGCCCGUGUUUUCACUUCCAUUAUCUACCGAGCGGCUCUCGGCCCACACCUCCACUCUAAAGUAGAUUUAUUAGGUACGGCUUUGGAGGGAUUACAGACCUAACUGAUCUUCCUGUAUUUGGUUCUUAGGAGUAUACGUUUGAGUGCAUAAGUUUGUACACCCCAGGACAAAAUGGCUGCCCACACACAGGGAGAAAUAGAAUGAAGACGUUUGUAUGUUAAGUAAGGUUAAGUAAACGUACUAAGUCGCAGAGCCGGCACUCUUCUGAAUCUGUCGAUUCAACGAGCGCCCUCCGCAGCCGAUUUGAGGACUCGUUUUUUUUUAACGUGCCUCGUUCGCUUAGUGACGAAUUAAGGAGAUGGGCCGGCGCCAGAGCACUUGGCUGUGUCCUAACGACGUGUUUAAACGUGUUAUAACGCCGACAGCACUGAGUCCCGCUCCCGAACUGCUGGAUUAAAGGUUCGGCGUUAGCAUGAAAUGAGGAGUGAAUGAGGCAGGAAGUGAACUGAAAGGGACUCUGUGUACCUGCUCGUCGAAUCUGGACGGAGCAUCGGGCAGGCUGGUGCUGUCGGCUAGCACGCUCAGAUCAAGCUCGCUCGGGCCUGCGGAGAAAAUACACAAGAAUAUCAAUGAAAAGCAAUUCUCGAUCCUGAUUGGUCAGAAAGGGUUGACGCAUUAAAGAUCUCUACGACUCAAACGAUGCGAUCGAUAUGUCGUUUAGUUUGGAGUUAAAUGUGUAAAGUGUGUAUUUCUGGUGUGUACAUUUCAUGUCAGUCUGAUUCUACCGUAGUCCAAGAGUCUGAGCGCUUAUGGCUUGCUCCGUCCUGCUCUCCGUCUCGGUUGCACUCGGAAACAAUUUUGCGGCUGAUUUGUUCUGACAAACCGCGAGAGUAAACCCUGACCUGCGCUUUCAUCCUGCCUUUCAUCCUGAUUCAGGAGUCGUGCAUGACGCACGAGUGUGGCUUCAAAGGUUAUGUGCUAUAGACACGAGCAUUAUAUGCUUCUCUUAUUUAGGAGUCCAAUUUAAACAAAACAUGAUGUACUUAAUGUUCUUAUGGUUGUUAAAUUGGACAUUUGUGCCUCGGGUGUUUCAUUUGAAAUCCAAUCCACCGACAUUUUGCAUAAUUAAACCCUUUUUUUAUUUUAAUUAUGCAAAUGUACUGACGUUAUAUUGUUUAUACGAGUGGAAUGAGUAGUUUAUUGAGUACCGUUUUGUCUUGGCAGAUUGAUAACAUCACGACCGUGCCAUGUCACCGAUAACGACUCGAACGAACCAGGAGUCGGGCGAGUUUAUAAUGAGUUAUAAUCUCAUUAGCAUGUGCACUACCACAGCGUUCUGUUCGUCCUCUACGGGUAGAUCUGCGCUAAUGAUGUUUACUUUCAUUUCCCAUCAAAUAAUCCUCGUCGUCCCCGGGUUAUGUUAUCGCCUCGACAAUCAAUCUCUUCCUUUUACGUCAACCGACGUUUACCGACGAGGAUCAGAGCCGUUCUGCUUCUCGAUAAAACGCUUAUAAACGGCGCAAAUCUAAACGAGCGCCGAGAGCUGCUUCUGCACGUCCGAGAAAUAGAUUCAGCCCCGAAAAAGUGGCUCUUUUUAAAGAAGUAAAAUCACCGGCACGUU